rnacentral:lncRNA from 10 species
GGAACGGAUUUCUCCUCACAGCCCUCAGAAGAAACCAACCCUGUCACCAUUUUGAUCUUGGACUUUAGCCUCUGGAACUGUGAGACAAUACAUUUCUGUUUGUUUCAGCCACCUAGUUCAUAGUACUUUGAAGUGACCUUUACACCACUCUCACUUAGAGAUGAGGUCUGUGUCCCCUCCUCUUGAAAUUGAGUGGCUUUUGUGACUGUGUACACAGGUAGAGUAAACUGCAGAGCUGCCUGUCUGUGACUUCCAAGGCUAGGUCAUAAAAGGAGAUAAAGCUUCUUCCUGGCUGGUUGGGCUGCUUGCUCUUGAAGCCUUCAGUCUCUAUGCACGCAGCAUGCCUUCCCAGCCUCCUGUGGUUGUAGAGUGUAUAGAAGGCAGUUGGAUCACUAUGGACAGCGGGUAAGAGCUGAGGAAGCAGCCUCCGCCAGGUGGUAACAUGGAGGACCCUGAAGCAGGCCAAUUAAAUCAAGCAUAUUCCUCAGUAUCAUGGAGAGACUGGAGGUUAGAGACACCAAAACCAUCCCUGGCUUAAUGACUUUGGGAUCCCUGGGCCCCUCCAUGCAGCAGAACGGCAAUUAACCAAGACCAUUGGCCAUUCUCUGACCAUCUCAAGCCAGAGGUGACUUGAUCUGUCACCCAGCUGUGGCCCAUGAGCAUUAUCUAAGGAGGAACAUUUUUGCUUACGUUUCCAGUGCUCUACAUAAGCCCUAGGCCCUGGGAGGCACUGAAAUGCUCAAUGGGAGCUCCAUGUGUGCAGGCUUAUGGACUGAAAUACUACUUUCAUGGCUCUGGCUAUGAACAUCAGCAUAUAGAGAAUGGAUCACUACCAAAGAAGGCACCCGAAUGUGUCUGUCUCAUCCUGGGGAAACUCAUUCAUCUGUAUAUGUACUCAGCAAGUGUUUCCUGGCACCUGCUCUGGGUCACAGUGCUGGGCACUGGAAGCUGAGAGAUGUGGAAGAAGGCUGGACAUUCAAGGUUACACCUGCCUAGGUACUGAGUGCAUUUCCACAGUAGCCCACACUGCAGCAUCAACAGAGAACCUCAGGAUGGGAGGCAAAAAGUGCAUGGCAUAGGCUCAGGAGAUGAGAAGCCCGAGGCUGGUAAACUAGAGUCCAAGGGCAGAAAGCUGGGACAAUGGCUGGAGGAAGAAAUGAGAGGAUCUCUAUACCCAGGCCUUGGCUUCUAUGUCCCUUCUCGAAGUGGUUGAAGUGCAGAUUUCUGAUUCUGUACCCAGCCUCCAGGGACACAGUACACAGUAUGCUGGGAAUGGCGGUGGGUGUUUGAGGUACAUUACUUCCAGACAAAACAUGGCUGCAGAGGGAUACCAAAAGCAUCUUCUGGUGGCUGAAGCCCUGUCUGCACAAGUGUCUGUGUUCUUCAAUGGUUCAGGCAAGCUCAGACAGACCCUCUGCUUCUCUUAACCUGAGACACUAGUUUCCCCAAGAACUUUGAGCUGAAGGUUCCUUGCUGUGUCCCCUACCUGGCUGUGAGGACUUUGAGUAUAAUUAUCCUAUCUUAUUUGUUGCUGUGCUCCCAGUGUCUUGGAUGGAGCCUGACAUCUAGUCAGUGUUAGUAAAUGUUGAUGUGUAUUGAAUUUUGCAAGGAUCUGCAGCCCUGAGAAGAGGGGAUACUUCUUGGAAACCUCUGUGGGCUAAAUUGAGGGUUAAGGACUGGGACUGGAAGGCAGAGAUUCCAGAGUGAUAACCACAGUAGUUACUAUUUCAUGAGAGCCUCCAUGUGCCAGCCUCUAAGCUAGGCCCAUACCAUGCAUUACCUCUUGUCCCCACUUUACAGAAACUAAGGCUUAGACAAGUUAAGCAACUUGCUAAAGAUCAAACAACUCAAUAUGUGUUGGAGUCAAAUGAACGCAUUUCUUUUCCAUUUCCCUCAUUUACUCCACUAAUGACAGUACUUAAAUUGUAGACUAGGAAUUAAAAUAGCAGAAGCCUGACUUGAGAGGGCAGAGCCCCUGCGUUUGAGUGCCUGAAAGUCAGUCAUGGGUAGAAAGAACAGUCUUGUAGCAGAGCUCUGGGCAAGGGAGGAGCCGUGAGCAGGUGGACAUGAACUCACUGUGACAACUCUCCAACAGUGAAAGCAGGUUCCCAUGGAAUCCAGGGAAAUUACUGAAUAACUUUCAACACAAAAAUGUGUGCUAGUGAGCUGUAGAGCCUUUAUAUCCCCCCAAAACAUAUUAUGGGGGUGGGGGGGGGGCGCGGAAUUCUGAAUUUUUGUUGUUGUUGUUGUUGUUGAGACAGAGUUUUGCUGUUGUUGCCCAGGCUGGAGUGCAAUGGCACAAUCUUGGCUCUCCACAACCUCCGCCUCCUGGAUUCAAGCGAUUCUCCUGCCCCAGCCUCCAGAGUAGGGGCUGGGAUUGUAGACAUGCGCCACCACGCCUGGCUAAUUUUGUAUUUUUAGUAGAGAUAGGGUUUCUGCAUGUUGAUCAGGCUGGUCUCGAACUCCUGACCUCAGGUGAUCCACCCGCCUUGGCCUCCCAAAGUGCUGGGAUUACAGGUGUGUGCCACGGCGCCCGGCCUAAGUAAAUAGUUUGGAAAGCUGCAUCCAAUAGUCUCUUUUGAAGAUUCACAAUGCACCCUAGCUUGUUAACUAUUCCAAGAAGUCCCCGGAAAAGAAUGCUUGUUUGACUUUCUUGAAUCCAGUGUUGCCCAUGUUUAUUUGACUAGUGAGCAGGUUUUUUUGUUUGUUUGUUUGUUUUUUAAGUGACACUUUUUAACACUCUGAGGCAGUAAUAUUGUACUGAACACAUGGGGAAUCUUCUGUGGAAGUUUGGCCUGGAAUACAUCCUCUGUGUUCCUUCUCGCCCCGUGGCUGAGUGAGUGUGCUGUAAAAGCUUAGUGACAGAAAAGCCCCACUUAGCCUAUUUGUGAUGAUUUCCUAAACCGGGCAAAUAACUCAUCUGAAUGGCUGAGGUGAUAAACUCACAGGAGGAGAAGAUGCUGGAGGAAGUGUCAUGUGUCCUGCAUGUAGGUACCACUUCACCUCCCAGCAAGGCGAUGCUGAUAGCAACGUUUUCCUUGGGUGUUGAAUUUUCCAUCCUGCAAUUACGUCUUAAGCCAUAGAUAAAAUUCACAUCCACGUUUCACUCAAGAUAAACCUAACAUCAUAAUAAUACAGAAGAUUAAUUCAUUGGGGAAAAAUAGAAGAAAAUUGGUCUUGGCUUAAAGAGAAGUCAACAUUUAGAAUGUGUAGAAGGGGAUUUCUUCUGGAUCACACUCUGUCCUCAACAGUGGCAUGUGAAAAUGUAUGUGGUUCGCUUUAGUGCAUGCAUGUUUGUGCCUGUCCCACUGACACAUCCACAGUGUGACCCAUAGAGGUCCACUUCUAAGACCCCUAACUCUGAGUCCAACCCACCCUUUUGGGCUCACUGCAGUCAUUUCUCUCUGAAGUCUUCCUUGACAACCUAGGCAUCAUCAGUUUUUCUCUUCUCUGAUCAUCUUAGCAAGUGUAUCCAUAAGCUAUAAUCACAAUCAUGCUGCAUAACAAAACCAAAAACUCAAUGGCCAAUAACAAUGAACAUUUAUUUUUUGUUUUCAUGUCUAGAGGCCAGGUGGGGGGUGGCUGAUCUAAGCUGGGUUUUGCUCUAGGUUAGAUUUAGUCUAGGUUGGCCUCACAUGUCUCUCAUUCUUCAGGUGUCAGGAGGCCACCAUGGGCCUGAUCUUCAGGACAGAUGCCUCUUAAGACUUGGGCUUUGACUCAUACACUGUUACUGCCACCCAUGUCCUGUUGGCCAAAGUCAAUUUCAUUACCAAGCCCAAGAUCUGUGGAGUGGAGAAAUGCAUUUUGAAGGGGAGGGAGUCAAUCUGUAAUGAGCACCAUGAUGUACCAUAGAGCAUUUGUAGUCAUGAGCCUGAUUUAGACACUUGGUGGGGUAUCUCUGUGCUCUUAGGAAUUGUGUCUCUGUGUCUGUCAGAGGUGAUAACAUUGGAGCUGAGCCUUAAAAAAUAAAAGUUUCCUCAAACACCUCUGUGACUUCUGUGAUGCCUUCUGUUCACCACCCACAGUAGCACUGAAGGAAGAAAAGUAGUAACAUGUGAAGUGCAUAGGCAGCCCAGGGAGUCAUGCAUCCUAGUUCUGCAAGGAGGGUGCCCCUAGCCAGCCCUUGAUUGCCUCCCAGUUUUGGAGUUUGUAAGAGUCACAAAUAAUCACACUUCCCUCUCCUCAAAGUUCUGAACCAACUAAAAAUUAUACAUGGGAAUUUGAUGGGGAUGAAAAUAUGGACUUUAUAAGUAAAAAUGAAUUUGAGAACAGCUUGGACCUGAAGCUGAAGGGGUUUCCUUGAUACUUUUCAUCUGGAUCCUGUAGUCCACCUGAGGGUAGUUGUGGGUCUUCAUGGUGGACUUUUAACCAGAUGCAUGAAAAAUUGUGGCCAGGAGAGAGGCCACACCUGAGAGGGAUGUUUACACAUGAGAAACAUAGACCAGUGGGUGUCAGCCUCUUGCCACCUCAACAAUUAUGCCAAUUUCUCCUACACACAAAUGAAGGAGAGAAGAGCUAAGUGUGAAAGGAAAGAUGGAACUCUGUCCUCCCCAUCUAAUCCGGGAUGGAAGCUGUCUGUUGCAGGGACCAGCAUGAGGUGGGGAGGAAGGAUGACCCCGGUGAUCUAGAAAAUGGGACUGAUGCUAUUUAGACGGCUGCCAUCACUGAGUCAGCGGGUGUGGGCUUCUUUAUGCACUUGCUAGAAAUGGGCCAUCAGGCCACUCCUAGUGUGCCCUGGAGCAACUUGUUCUUGUCUGCAAGUCCAGAUGCAGAACACCUAACUCCACUCCACUUCAUCCCCAAAUCCCAACCCGUCUUCACUCAUUUCCGACUGAACCAAGCCACCUGAGUGUCGUGAGUUCACCUGUGUGUUCUUGCCAUCUCCUGGGAUGGAGUCCCCACAGGUCAGAACACUUGAACUCAUUGUGUAGAACCAGAUUCUCUCCCACACUUUUCUCUCUCCUCUCAGAGGCCAAUUUGUUCUGCAGUCAAUUCUGCAGAAGUUAGAAAUAAAGCAUGGUGACCAAUCAGAGAUGAGAGAGGGUGUGGUUGGGCUGAGAGUCACUUUUCAGAGCUUAUGAAAAGCUGCAAACCCGGUGGAUGGCUUACACUCUUUCCUCAAGGGCAACACACUGAGUGAGAGGGUGCUGGAGGGGGAUGCUGGGGAAAGCGAGCUUGUAUUCAAGGAGGCCUGUGGUGUCAUUAUUUACAGUGUCACACCUGAUCCUCCCAACGACCCCAUCUCUAGGCUCUGGAAGUUAGUGGUUAAGAGCACAUCUCUCAGGCUUGUUCACAUACAGUUGUGUGACCUUGGGCAAGUCUCUGUGCCUCAGUUUACUCAUCUGUAGAAUGUUGGUAGAGGAGGAUAUUAAGAGUAACUACCACAUAGUGGUGCUGGGAGGAUAAAAUGAUUUAAUAGAUGUGAUGGGCAGCUGUGGGGAUGGCUCCCAGUGAUCCCUGUCUCCAGGUAUCCAUGCCCUUGCUUGUAAGGAAGAGAAUAUGGCAAAGUUGAUAGGCUGUCUCUUCCAAGAUCAGGUUACAAGAGACUGUGAACUCCCUCUUGCUUACUUUCUCUUACUCUCUUUCUUACUCCAGUGGAAACCAACAGCGUGUUACGAGCUGCCCAGUGGAGAAACCCACACUACAAGAAACUGUGGAUGGCCUCCUCUGGUCAAUAGCCAGCUAGGAAUAAGGCCUUCAUCCAAUAGCCCAUGAGGAACUGAAUCCUGCCAAAAACCACACACGUGAGCUUAGAAGCAGAUCUUUCCCCAGUAGAGCCUUGAAAUGACUGCUGCCCCCACCUGACACCUUAACUGUGGUCUGUGUGAGACUCUGAAACAGGGGGCCCAGCUAAGCCAAGCCCAUAUUCCUGACCCACAGACGCUUUGAGAUAAUAUUGAAUAAAUUCUUGUGGUGUUAAGCCACUGAGUUUUAGGGUAAUUUGUUAGACAGCGAUAGAUAACGAAGACAAUACAUUAACAAUUCUUAAGAUACCCAGUGGAUAGUAAACCUUCAAUAGAUAUUGACUGUCUUUAUUAUUAAUAUCUCAGUUUCACAGAUGAGACAAAUGAGGCUCAGAGUGACUUCCCAGAGUUCGACAGUUAAUAUGCAGUAGAGUAGGGGCUCUGCCUUUGUUCUAUCUGACUUCAAAGUCAGUGCUCUCAAAGCAUCACUAUUUGGAAGACUCAGCUCCUUGAGGUGCCUAAGCAGGAUUUGUAGAAAAACAGAGGGCAGAUUUCCAUGGGCUGCCUUAGAUAGGUGAAUGACCCCUUAAGGCUGUAGAGGGCCAGGCCUAGGGCUGGGGAGAGCCAUGGCCAGCUCUUCAGGGAGUCUACAUGGGUAGGAGGACUAGCUCCUGCACCCAAACUUCACUAGGGGCUAGGUCUUCCAGCACAUGGGAGAACCAACGCAUGGCUGAGUCUGCUCCUAGAGUUUGUAAGAUGCUGUGUACUGAGAAAUGGAGCUCUGGUCUCUCCUCGCCCUCUGCUAUAGUUUCAAUGUGUUCCCCAAAAAGCAUGUGUUGGAAACUUAAUCCCCAAUGCAACAGUGUUGGGAAGUAGGGCCUAAUGGGAGGUGUUUAGGGCAUGAGGUCUCUGUCCUCAUGAAUGGAUUAAUGCCGAUUAUAAAAGGUCUUGAGCAUGUGAGUUCAUUCUCUUGCUCUCUCACAAUGCUGUCUUGCCCUUCCACCGUGAGCCAUGGGAUGAUGUAGGAAUCAUCCCAUGAUUGGUGGCACCUUCAUAUUAGACUAUGUUGGACUUCGCAGCCUCCAGAACUGUGAUAAACAAAUACCUUAUAAGUUACGACACCUCUGAUAUUGUGUUAUAGCAACACAAAACAGACUGAGACUCUUUCUCUCAUUCCCUCUGGGAGCUCAUGAACUAGGAGCCUGAGAUAAGCCCCAUUCAGAGGAGUCUCAUCUGAGCAAAGGCCGUUUUCGUUGCUAUCCUAUCAUGCUAUAGACAGCAAUGAUGAAUCAACUUAGCUGAUCGGAGGGCAGUCAGCACCAUCAGAAACAACAUGUCCUCUUAGCACAGUAACUGCUGGGAACAUCUACAAGAUUCCUCAGGGUGUAUGGGCAACAGACACAGGGAGCGUGCAGAGAGGCAGGUGGCACAGCCCCUGAUAUCUGCGGUGGUGAGACGCACAAUGGGAGCAGAUUCAAGCUUCACCACACAGACACUCAAAGAAUCAACGGAUACACGGAGACACCCAGGCACCUGCAUUAAUACCCAUAUACUCCCAGACACAUGGCCACACUCAUAGACACACCUACAGAAUGACACACUCAGACAUUCAGUGUGAAAGACACAAAUGCUCAGAUAAAUGCCCAGGUGGUAGGGAGGAACAUUAAAAUCCCACAACUCAUGUUUCCAGGGAGGGGAAGUCUUUUCCAUUGCACCAUGCAGGAGGGAAAAGUAUUGAAGGAACACUUCUUGCCCUUGUCCAUCCCCUCACCCAUUUCUCCCCAGAGGAGAGUUGGUGAGUUUGGGGGAGGAACAGAGCAUGCUCAGUCUAGUCUCCCCUAGGGCUUCUCUGUCUUUUACCCUGCCUGCCUGCAGAGGGGAAACAACAUUCUCAUCAGUCCUCUGGUACUGGGUGGCCUCUCAGGGUCGGCUUGGCCCCUCUGGGGAGUUGCCUGGUGUGACCAGUGCCGAUGGACACGUCUAUCUAAUUCAUUGGGGAAGAAUUUGCAGACCCUUUGGCUACAUAUCCAAAGCCACAUUCUUUACUUGACUGUACCCAGUAAUAGAGCUGACAUUCUGAUCUUCACCUCUAUCUCUGAGGCCUUAUUUCUCAGUUGGUGUCAAACUUGCGAUUCCCCGGUUCCAACACCAAAUAUUCCCACUUAGAGGAAAAACAGAAACAUGGACAAAUGUUCAAAGACACAGCAGAGAAACAUAGAUGAGAUGGUACAUUUGCUCUCCUGAGUGGAGGGAGGAUGGUUAGAAGAGCAGUUCAUGAGUCUGGCUGGGUGUUAGAAUCACCUGGGAAGAAUUACAAAUAGGUACUCAUGUCUGGGUCCUACUCCAGACAAACUGAUUCAGAAUCUACUGGGUCAGGGCCUGGGCAGUGGUCAAUUUUAAAGCUCCCCAGGUGAUUCUAACAGGCAGCUUCCCCACUCCCCAGCACUCCAUGAGGAGCAAAAGAGUGUUGGUGACUGGGGGCCUAACCCAUCGGUCACAGACCUCCCUCAGACGUCACUUGCUUCCAGCUAUAGCUCCAAAUUUCUCUCCUAUGGACAUUCUGGGGAUUCUGGUAGCAGCUGAGGGCUGUGCACUAAGCAGGCAAUUGCCUUUGGCUGCUGCUCUUCUGACUCUUCUAACUCUUCUGGUGGACCAUGGGGGCUGUCUCACCACUCUUCAAGCAGAAGUCCCUCACUCCUGCCUUGGAUCCCCAACACGUACGGAUGCUUAGGUCGACAUGGUAUUUUUCCUCUUGCUUUCAGUCUAGCUUCCUGUUGCAUCUCUGCUUGGUUGGCCCCUGGCAGAGCAGGUGCACAGGACACCGAGUGGAGAACUGGCCCCAGUGACAGUGGCUCGGCACAUGCUCUUCAUCCCAUAGCCAAAGGCACUUUCUUUGUGAUGCAUGGAGGCCAAACUCUUCUGCCAGCAACAGAGAAGCAAGGCCAGGCUGAUGGCUGCAAAAUGAGAGCGUGGUGUAAAGAUGGGAGCAGAGGUGGCGUGUACCCAUCCAGUGGCCUUGAUGCUUCUGUGAAUAUGGAG